rnacentral:lncRNA from 1 species
UGCCGAUGUCGUUUGGGACUCUCAAAAUCAGAAUUUGAUUGGUAAACUUGAAAGUAUUCAGCUUGACGCAGCGCGUAUCGUCACGGGGGGUACUAAACUUACCAGUAUAAACAAUUUAUAUGUUGAAACUCGAUGGGAAAAAUUAUCUGAAAGACGACGCAAUCACAGACUAACUCAGUAUCACAAAAUUUUGAAUAAUAAAACUCCAGAGUAUUUAAGAGACUUAUUACCUGAUUCAGUAGGCAGUAGGCAUGAUCAUAAUACAAGACAGAGAAAUAACAUUUCACAAGUCAACACACGGACCCGUUUAUAUUCUGAAUAUUUCAUCCCUGCAACAACAAAACUAUGGAACACUCUUAACUUAAACAUAAGAAAAUGUGAAUCUCUAUCAUUAUUCAAAAAACAAAUUAGUACCCAAAAUAGUAAGAUCCCAGCGUAUUAUUAUAUAGG